UACGGAGGGUGCAAGCGUUAUCCGGAUUCACUGGGUUUAAAGGGUGCGUAGGUGGGUUGAUAAGUCAGUGGUGAAAUCCCCGAGCUUAACUUGGGAACUGCCAUUGAUACUAUUGAUCUUGAAUACCGUGGAGGUCAGCGGAAUAUGUCAUGUAGCGGUGAAAUGCUUAGAUAUGACAUAGAACACCAAUUGCGAAGGCAGCUGACUACGCGAAUAUUGACACUGAUGCACGAAAGCGUGGGGAUCAAACAGG
rnacentral:rRNA from 1 species